GUCCACGCCCUAAACGAUGUCAGCUGAUUGUUCGGGAAGCAAUUCCUGGGUAACCAAGCCAACGCGUGAAGCUGACCGCCUGGGAAGUACGGUCGCAAGAUUAAACUCAAAGGAAUUGACGGGGACCCGCACAAGCGGUGGAUGAUGUGGAUUAAUUCGACGCAACGCGAAAACCUUACCUAGCCUUGACAUGUCAGGAACCCGGAUGAAAGUCUGGGGUGCCCGCAAGGGAGCCUGAACACAGGUGCUGCAUGGCUGUCGU
rnacentral:rRNA from 1 species